rnacentral:tRNA from 2 species
AUUUUCUUAGUAUAGUAGUAUAGAUGACUUCCAAUCAUCUGGCCUUGGUUAAACUCCGAGAGAAAAUA